GCCUCUGUAGAUCAGAGUUGAUUGCCUCGAAUUGUUAUGAGAGUACAUGGAGAAUUAACGAGGAGAUGUGGGUUCGAGUCCCACUGGAGGCA